CUGAACCCCACCUUUGCUGCCAACAUGAACUCAGGUCACCUCUUGUGGAAAUCUUUUCCUGAUACUCCUCGUGGCAGCGGAUCCCGCCAUCUCACGGCCCUGCCUUUAGGGCCACUCUUACCAGUCUGCGGAGCGAGGUCUCCCUCUCCGUCAAAUUCCCAGCUCCUGAGGGCAGAGAACGGGAUCUGCUGUCUUUAGAUGCCCCACCCUGGCGCCUGGUCCAAUGCCUCCCAAGCUCGAGGGAGACGACGGACGGAGCAGACGCCCCCCGCCUGCUGCCUGCCCAGCGCGUGGCAGCGGAGCCGCCUUCCGCAGAGGCGGAGGGCCCACCAACGUGCGGGCCUCUGCUCGUCAGGGCCAGCGCCGCCGCGUUUCCUCUCUCCUCCCUGAGGCUGGGCCCUCAACGCACCAACGGCAAUUCACAGCAGCGUGCGCGCCAAUAAUAGAUGAGUCUCUGAUUUGCAACUUCCUGUGUAAUUAUCUGAAAAAUGGAGGCGGAAAUUUUGAAAUUUAAUAAUCCCCAUUCCCCUCUUCCCGCCAACACACACAUUUUGAAACACAUGGCAUAACUGCUAUUAACAUAACAGAUCACACACGGGUGAUGAGUAAAGUGUGUUCUUGGUGGGGGAGGUACAUCCUUCGUUCCUCCUGUUUCCAGGCAUGAGUGCAAGUAAAGAAGAGGAAAAAAGGAGAAAAUGAUCUAAUAUUCCAAAAUUAAGAAGAAAAAGAGGAGGAUCCAGCCAAGGAGACUGAGAAGGAGCAACCAGCAAGAUAGGAAGAAAACUAAGAAACAGUUGCAUUCUGGAAACCAAGUGAAGAAAGUUUCUUAAGGGAAAGGGAGUGAUCAAAUGCGUCAAAUGAUACCAAGAGGGCAAGUCAGAUGAACACUGAGAACUGUCCACCAUAUUUAGGACCAUGGAGGUCAAUCGGUGACCUCAAGAAGAACAAUUUUUAGACUCAUGAGGGAGAAAGUCUGGUUAGAUUUCAUUAAAAGAGAAAGGAAGAAGAAGUGAAAUCAAGGAGCAAAGACAACUCUUUUGCUCCAAAGAGGAACAAAGAAAUGGGGUAGUAGGUGGAAUGGAAAAUGGGUGAAGAGAAAUAUUUUUUAAGAUAAAAGAAGAAAUAAUAUGGGGGUAGGGCACAAAGGGGGAAGUGGUGUACCCACAGCAUGACUAACAAUAAUGUACAACUGAAAUCUCACAAGGUUGUAAUCUAUCAUAACAGUAAUAAAAAAAAAAAAAGAAAGAAAAAAAAGAAGAAAUAAUAUAUUUAUAUAUUCCUGAGAAUUAUUCCAUAGAGAGGGAAAAUUUGAUGAUGAGGAUGGGAGAAGGGAAUAUUGCUAGAGCAAUGUCCUUGAGUAGGCUACAGAGUAUAAGAUCUAAAGGUGAGGAAUACAAGACUGGUAAUGGAUCUAAGCUUUUACAUGGGCAGUAGAGUGGAAGGGUUUGGGGAGGUAAGGAGUGGGAGGAGCAAAGAAUAGAAUGGAAUGUACAGAGGCUGUGUGGAGUUUCCCUCAAUUUUUCAAACACUAUUCAUGUAAGAAUAAACACUUCACUGUAAAUGUGGUGUUUAGCAACUGAUUGCCUGAAGUAUAGAUUAUCCAAGAUUUUUCAUACCACGGCUUGCUAUAAUCUCCUAAGGAUUGGUGAGGAAAAGAAAUGGAGAUAAAACUCAAAAUCCAUGUCAAUUUGGACAUUGUAAGCAGAUCAUCAGAUUAAAGUUAGGUAAUGAUAAGAGGUUAUUUGUCAAAUACAUUUAAGAAUUUUCUGAGGACUUCACAUACUUAUGUUGCUCACAUUUUCCAUUGCCAUGACAUUUCCAAGUUUCAUGUUUGCGUUAUACGUCUAUGGAUGUGCAACUCAAAAUUAUAGUUUUAAAAAAGAACAAAUACAUUUGGUGGAAAUCUGGGAUCUUUGGCAUAGCUAAUAGAGAAGAGACUUCUAGUUAUUAAUUACAAUAAACAAACGUGUCCAUAAUGACAGAGUUUACAGCAAUGAGGCAUAUUUCUUCUUGCGAUAAUAAUUAAUUGGCUGAAGACUUGCUGGUCCAAUGGAA
rnacentral:lncRNA from 1 species